rnacentral:rRNA from 1 species
AUUGAACGCUGGCGGCAUGCCUAACACAUGCAAGUCGAACGAGCGGCGGACGGGUGAGUAAUGCUUGGGAAUCUAGCCUAUGGAGGGGGAUAACUACGGGAAACUGUAGCUAAUACCGCGUACCAUAGGAUGAACCCAUUUGGGAUUAGGUAGUUGGUGAGGUAAAGGCUCACCAAGCCGACGAUCUCUAGCUGGUCUGAGAGGAUGACCAGCCACACUGGGACUGAGACAAGGCCCGGACUCCUACGGGAGGCAGCAGUGGGGAAGAUUGCGCAAUGGGGGCAACCUGAUGCAGCCAUGCAGCGUGAAUGAAGAAGGCCUUCGGGUUGUAAAGUUCUUUCGGUAGGGAGGCGUUAACCACAGAAGAAGCACCGGCUAACUCCGUGCCAGCCGCCGCGGUAAUUC